UCUCCCGCUGUGGCCGGGGUCACUCCGCGUGGGCAUUGUGGCUUUUGUCUGCAUCUGGACAACCGGA
ensembl:misc_RNA